CCGUGGCAAACAGCUCAGUAACACGUGGCCAAACUACCCUAUGGACGUGGACACCCUCGGGAAACUGAGGCUAAUCCACGAUACGGCUCCCACGCUGGAAGGCGGGGAGCCGGAAACGCUUCGGCGCCAUAGGAUGUGGCUGCGGUCGAUUAGGUAGACGGUGGGGUAACGGCCCACCGUGCCCAUAAUCGGUACGGGAUGUGAGAGCAAAUAGCCCGGAGAUGGUAUCUGAGACAAGAUACCAGGCCCUACGGGGCGCAGCAGGCGCGAAACCUUUACACUGCACGCCAGUGCGAUAAGGGGACCCCGAGUGCGAGGGCAUACAGUCCUCGCUUUUGUACACCGUAAGGAGGUGUACGAAUAAGGGCUGGGCAAGACCGGUGCCAGCCGCCGCGGUAAUACCGGCAGCCCGAGUGAUGGCCGCUGUUAUUGGGCCUAAAGCGUCCGUAGCCGGCCGAACAAGUCUGUCGGGAAAUCCAUCCGCCUAACGGAUGGGCGUCCGGCAGAUACUGUUCGGCUUGGGGCCGGAAGAUCCGAGGGGUACGUCCGGGGUAGGAGUGAAAUCCCGUAAUCCUGGACGGACCG
rnacentral:rRNA from 1 species